AGUGAACGCUGGCGGUAGGCCUAACACAUGCAAGUCGAACGGCAGCACAGUAAGAGCUUGCUCUUACGGGUGGCGAGUGGCGGACGGGUGAGGAAUACAUCGGAAUCUACUUUUUCGUGGGGGAUAACGUAGGGAAACUUACGCUAAUACCGCAUAUGACCUACGGGUGAAAGCAGGGGAUCUUCGGACCUUGCGCGAUUGAAUGAGCCGAUGUCGGAUUAGCUAGUUGGCGGGGUAAAGGCCCACCAAGGCGACGAUCCGUAGCUGGUCUGAGAGGAUGAUCAGCCACACUGGAACUGAGACACGGUCCAGACUCCUACGGGAGGCAGCAGUGGGGAAUAUUGGACAAUGGGCGCAAGCCUGAUCCAGCCAUACCGCGUGGGUGAAGAAGGCCUUCGGGUUGUAAAGCCCUUUUGUUGGGGAAGAAAAGCAGCAGGUGAAUACCCCGCUGUUCUGACGGUACCCAAAGAAUAAGCACCGGCUAACUUCGUG
rnacentral:rRNA from 1 species